rnacentral:rRNA from 1 species
UGGGGGAUAUUGCACAAUGGGCGAAAGCCUGAUGCAGCGACGCCGCGUGGGGGAUGAAGGCUUUCGGGUUGUAAACCUCUUUCGCUAUCGAACAAGGCCCGCUUAGGGUGGGUUGAGGGUAGGUGGAGAAGAAGCGCCGGCUAACUACGUGCCAGCAGCCGCGGUAAUACGUAGGGCGCGAGCGUUGUCCGGAAUUAUUGGGCGUAAAGGGCUUGUAGGCGGCUUGUUGCGCCUGCUGUGAAAACGUGGGGCUUAACUUCGCGCGUGCAGUGGGUACGGGCAGGCUUGAGUGUGGUAGGGGUGACUGGAAUUCCAGGUGUAGCGGUGGAAUGCGCAGAUAUCUGGAGGAACACCGAUGGCGAAGGCAGGUCACUGGGCCAUUACUGACGCUGAGGAGCGAAAGCAUGGGUAGCGAACAGG